UAUCUAAGACAAAUGAUCAAAAUCUUUUAUUAAUUGAUAACCUUUUCAAUAAAAAGGUGCGCUUGCUCGAAAUAUUUCACACGAUUACUUUUUCUCGUCGUCAUAAUGAAGACCGCUCUAUUAUGUUUCCUUGUGGCGUACACGGCCUACACUGCAUAUGCAGGGCCAGCACGAUCAGACUUCUCAGAGCACCGCGUGUACCCACGGUUCAUUAAGUUCCCUGAUGGCAAUGAAGUGUUGCAUGAUGUAGACCUUGAAGCUCCAGCCCAGCAAUCAUUCCUCGAUGAAGUCAACAGAAACCCUGCUAACAACCAAUAUCUGCUUUUCACCAGGCGUAACCCAAGAUCAUCCCAGUCUUUGGUAAUGAACAACGUUGGUUCGAUCACUUCUUCCAACUUCAACCCUAAUCAUCCAACAGUCGUCAUUGCUCACGGCUGGCUCAGCAACCAGCAGACCAAUAUCAACCCUACCAUCAGAGACGCUUAUCUUAACAAGGGAGAGGCGAACGUUAUUGUCUUGGACUGGAGAAGGCUUGCGAUUUCCAACUAUGUCACAGCCGUCAGAGGAGUUCCUGCUGUCGGUCGUGGUCUUGGACAGUUCUUGGCUUUCUUGAACUCCGUGACUGGCGCACCUUUCAAUUCCAUGCACCUGGUCGGCUUUAGUUUGGGCGCUCACCUUGUUGGUAACGCUGGAAGACAAUUAGGAGGAAGAGUUGCUCGUGUCACAGGCCUCGACCCUGCUGGUCCUCUAUGGAAUCUCAACUCCAACCGCAUCAACCCCAACGAUGGUAUCUACGUUGAGGCCAUCCAUACUGAUGGCGGUUACACCGUCGGAGGUCUUGGUAUCGGAGCUGAUGUUGCCAACGCUGACUUCUACGUCAACGGUGGCAUCUCUCAACCUGGUUGCCUAACCAACGUCUGCAACCACAACAACGCCUGGAGAUAUUUUGCUGCUACAGUUACUUACAACCAUAUUGUUGGUAACCAAUGCUCGAGCUCGUGGCAAAUUACUUGGAAUAACUGCAGUGGUGCAAGACUGAACAUGGGUAACGACGAUUUGAGGAAAUCUGGGUAAGUAUUAACAUUUUUUAUUUGAGUUAGAACACCUUUUUACUUAGCUAAAAACGGAUUGAUUUACAUCCUAAGCGAUGUUUAUAGAACAUUUUGGUUGGUAUCUUGACCGGUAAUUGAGUUUAUGAUAAAGAAAACUAACUAUUCUCUCUUAAUUUUCAGAUCUGGACGAUUCCGUGCCAACACCGGAAGGAGAUACCCCUACUAAUAAUAAAUACCAUGACAAAGCAUUAAAGGAUCUAUUUUUUAA